rnacentral:rRNA from 1 species
AUUGAACGCUGGCGGCAUGCUUUACACAUGCAAGUCGAACGGCAGCGCGGGCUUCGGCCUGGCGGCGAGUGGCGAACGGGUGAGUAAUAUAUCGGAACGUACCCAGGGGUGGGGGAUAACGUAGCGAAAGUUACGCUAAUACCGCAUACGCUCUAUGGAGGAAAGCAGGGGAUAGCAAGACCUUGAGCGCUUGGAGCGGCCGAUAUCUGAUUAGCCCGUUGGUGGGGUAAAGGCUCACCAAGGCAACGAUCAGUAGCUGGUCUGAGAGGACGACCAGCCACACUGGGACUGAGACACGGCCCAGACUCCUACGGGAGGCAGCAGUGGGGAAUUUUGGACAAUGGGGGCAACCCUGAUCCAGCAAUGCCGCGUGAGUGAAGAAGGCCUUCGGGUUGUAAAGCUCUUUUGUCAGGGAAGAAACGGUUUUGGCUAAUAUCCAGAGCUAAUGACGGUACCUGAAGAAUAAGCACCGGCUAACUACGUGCCAGCAGCCGCCGUAACAC